GAUGAACGCUGGCGGCGUGCCUAAUACAUGCAAGUCGAGCGAACAGAUGAGGAGCUUGCUCCUCUGACGUUAGCGGCGGACGGGUGAGUAACACGUGGAUAACCUACCUAUAAGACUGGGAUAACUUCGGGAAACAGGAGCUAAUACCGGAUAAUAUAUUGAACCGCAUGGUUCAAUAGUGAAAGACGGUUUUGCUGUCACUUAUAGAUGGAUCCGCGCCGCAUUAGCUAGUUGGUAAGGUAACGGCUUACCAAGGCAACGAUGCGUAGCCGACCUGAGAGGGUGAUCGGCCACACUGGAACUGAGACACGGUCCAGACUCCUACGGGAGGCAGCAGUAGGGAAUCUUCCGCAAUGGGCGAAAGCCUGACGGAGCAACGCCGCGUGAGUGAUGAAGGUCUUCGGAUCGUAAAACUCUGUUAUUAGGGAAGAACAGAUGUGUAAGUAACUAUGCACGUCUUGACGGUACCUAAUCAGAAAGCCACGGCUAACUACGUG
rnacentral:rRNA from 1 species